GUCUUUUAACAGGCAGUAGACCUUCUGAAUUUUUCAUUUCUUUUUUCUUUUUACUCGCUGGAAUUUUUUUCGGAAAUAACAUGAAAUAAACAUUUCUUUAGGUGAUCAAUGAGAUGAUAUGAAACUCACUUUGCACAUGUAUGUUUUGCAGGGACUGCUCUGUAUGUGAAUGACAGAAGUUCUCUGAAGGCUUCAAGAAGCAUUAACGUUUGAUCUUCGCUAGUCAGUAGUAUAAUUUCUUGGAUCAGUUAUUUGAGUUUGUUACUUCUAGAUGGCGAUAGACUUAGGUUCUCUGAUGGAUAGAUCGUUGGCAAUUUUCACGUCCGAUCAUGCAUCAGUGGUGUCAAUGAACUUGUUCGUUGCACUUCUUUGCGCAUGUAUUGUGAUCGGUCAUUUACUUGAGGAAACUCGCUGGAUGAACGAGUCAAUCACGGCUCUAAUUAUUGGUUUAGGUACCGGUGUUGUUAUUUUGCUGACAACUAAAGGAAAGAGUUCGCAUCUAUUGGUGUUUAGUGAAGAUUUAUUCUUCAUUUAUCUUCUUCCACCUAUUAUAUUUAAUGCUGGGUUUCAGGUUAAGAAGAAGCAAUUUUUUCGCAACUUUAUGACCAUCAUGCUGUUUGGGGCGGUUGGCACUCUUAUAUCUUUUGUAAUCAUAUCAUUUGGUGCUAUACACUUUUUCAAGAAAAUGAAUAUCGGUACUCUCAAAAUUGGAGAUUAUCUUGCAAUUGGAGCAAUAUUUGCUGCUACAGAUUCAGUUUGCACCUUGCAGAUUCUUAAUCAGGAUGAGACGCCUUUAUUGUACAGUCUGGUGUUCGGGGAAGGUGUUGUAAAUGAUGCCACAUCUGUAGUUCUUUUCAAUGCUAUCCAGAGCUUUGACCUGUCUCACCUCAACUCAAGCAUGUAUUUGCAAUUUGUUGGAAAUUUUUUGUAUUUAUUUAUUGCAAGUACAAUGCUGGGAGUUUUGGCUGGGCUGCUUAGUGCAUUCAUUAUCAAAAAACUGUAUAUGGGCAGGCACUCUACAGAUCGUGAGGUUGCUUUGAUGAUACUCAUGGCUUACCUUUCAUAUAUGCUGGCAGAACUAUUCUAUUUAAGUGGCAUUCUCACUGUAUUUUUUUGUGGGAUUGUUAUGUCACACUACACAUGGCACAAUGUCACUGAAAGUUCAAGAGUGACAACCAAGCAUGCUUUUGCAACUUUGUCAUUUGUUGCUGAGAUCUUUAUCUUCCUUUAUGUUGGCAUGGAUGCCAUGGACAUUGAGAAGUGGACGGUUGUAAGUGAUAGCCCUGGAAAAUCACUUGGGAUAAGUGCAAUACUGUUAGGACUGGUUAUUGUUGGAAGAGCAGCCUUUGUUUUUCCCUUGUCCUUUUUAUCCAACUUGACCAAGAAAUCUCCAUACGAGAAAGUUGACUUGAAGCAACAAGUUACCAUUUGGUGGGCCGGUCUUAUGCGUGGUGCGGUUUCUAUGGCACUUGCUUAUAAACAGUUUACCUGUGCUGGCCAUACUAAGUUGCAUGGGAAUGCUAUGAUGAUCACCAGUACAAUUACUGUUGUUCUUUUCAGCACAGUUGUGUUUGGGUUGAUGACUAAACCACUAGUGAGGAUUUUGCUUCCUUCCUCGAAAAGCCUCGCCAAAUUGGUGUCUUCUGAGCCCUGUUCUCCUAAAUCCUUACUUGUGCCACUUCUUGAGAACGGACAUGACUCAGAAGCCGACCACAAAAAUGGAAGCAUGCUACGUCCAACCAGCUUAAGGAUGCUAUUGAGCACCCCAUCUCACACUGUUCAUUACUAUUGGCGAAAAUUCGAUGAUGCCUUCAUGCGGCCUGUGUUUGGUGGCCGAGGUUUUGUACCUGUGGUUCCUGGCUCACCACUUGAACAAAGUGUUCGUCAAGGUCACUGAGAAGGGAAUUCAAAACAAUGAAAGCACUAAUUUAAAGUGAUUCGUAGCUUGGGCUUGAGAGUGUGCCAUUUUGUUAAUAGUAAAAGGAUUUUUGGAGGUUGGUUUUGACAGCAAUUUGAUUCAGUGUGGCGGCAGCAGCAGCAGCUUGCAGUUUGAUUUGAUUCUGAAGUGAUUGUCAAGUUUUGGUGUCUAAAUUGGUUGCCAAAGAGAUUGUAUACCUGACAGUGCAUAGCUUCAUAACUUCAAAGUUUAUACAUCACUAUCACAUACAAUGAAGCUACAUUUCUGUUGUCGGAACUGUCACAAGAAGAUCCUCCAAACUGAUACAAAGGACGGUGUACCAGCUCAUACUCGAAAGGCUUUUUGCACAACAAGACUUUGUGUUCUACCGAUGGCUGAGGUAUCCC